UACGAAGGGGGCUAGCGUUGUUCGGAAUUACUGGGCGUAAAGCGCACGUAGGCGGAUAUUUAAGUCAGGGGUGAAAUCCCGGGGCUCAACCCCGGAACUGCCUUUGAUACUGGGUAUCUAGAGUCCGGAAGAGGUGAGUGGAAUUCCGAGUGUAGAGGUGAAAUUCGUAGAUAUUCGGAAGAACACCAGUGGCGAAGGCGACUUACUGGACACAUAUUGACGCUGAGGUGCGAAAGCGUGGGGAGCAAACAGGG
rnacentral:rRNA from 1 species